rnacentral:rRNA from 1 species
AUGGCAGCCCACGCUGAAGGCGGACGUCUACUCCUUGGGAGUGCUCCUACUGGAGCUCCUCACCUGCAAGUCCCCGACACACGCAUCCAUGCAGGACGGCGUCGGCGGCGCGCUCGACCUGUCGUGCAGUCGGUGGUGCGCGAGGAGUGGACGGCUGAAGUGUUUGACGUGGAGCUCGUGCGGCUGGGCACCCGCAGAGCUAUGGGCAUAGAGGCAGCAACUCAAAACUCCAUGGUUUGCACACAGCAGCACAACGCCACGGUCUGCAUGCGGCAUGACCAGCUCCACUCAGGAACCCGGUUACCUCACCAACCAGAUCAAGUGUCUCUCUGA